CCCUUAGAUGUUCUGGGCUGCACGCGCGCUACACUGAAGCACGCAACAGGUGCCUGCUCCGAGAGGACUGGGUAAUCAUUUGAGUGUGCGUCGUGAUGGGGAUAGAAUAUUGUAAUUAUUACUCUUCAACGAGGAAUUCCUAGUAAGCGCCAGUCAGCAGCUUGCGCUGAUUACGUCCCUGCCCUUUGUACACACCGCCCGUCGCUCCUACCGAUGGGUGAUCCGGUGAAUGAUUCGGACUUCAGCGGCUCCCCUGGGGUGCGCCGGAGAAAGUUUUGUGAACCUUAUCACUUGGAGGAAGGAGAAGUCGUAACA
rnacentral:rRNA from 1 species